UACGUAGGGGGCGAGCGUUGUCCGGAGUUACUGGGCGUAAAGGGCACGCAGGCGGUGCGGCGCGUUUCGCGUGACAGCGGAGGGCUUAACUCUCCGAGGAUGCGAAAGACGGCGGCACUUGAGGGCCAGAGAGGGACACGGAAUUCCGGGUGGAGUGGUGAAAUGCGUAGAGAUCCGGAGGAACACCGAAGGCGAAGGCAGUGUCCUGGCUGGUGACUGACGCUGAGGUGCGAAAGCUAGGGGAGCGAACCGG
rnacentral:rRNA from 1 species